rnacentral:rRNA from 1 species
AACGCACCUUGCACCUUCUGGUAUUCCGGAAGGUACACCUGUUUGAGUGUCAUUAAAUUCUCAACCAGUUGACUUUUGUUGAUUGGCUUGGAUGUGAGGGUUGCGGGCUGCCUGCAAAGGCUGGUCGGCUCCCUUUAAAUGCAUUAGCUGGAGCGAAGUACAAGUGUUUCAACUCUUUGAUGCUUGAAAGCCUCCUGGUGUUGGUAAUUAUCUACGCCGUUGGUUUAGUCAUUGAGCUUGUUCGUUUGGAAGAGUCUCUGCUUCUAACUGUCUCGCAAGGGACUAGUCCACUCAUGGGCUACUUUAAUGACUAUUGUGACCUCAAAUCAGGUGGGACUACCCGCUGAACUUAA